CCUUCGAUAGCUCAGUUGGUAGAGUGGAGGACUGUAGAUCCUUAGGUCGCUGGUUCAAAUCCGGCUUGAAGGA
rnacentral:tRNA from 1 species